AGAGAAAUAAAUAAUAACUUAAAAACAAUCAUAACCAAAAAUAUAUUUAAAAAAUACAAAAUUCCAAAUCCGGAGAGCUGAGAAACGGCAUCUCGUCGCUGCGAGAUCUCAUCGCGUCGCGUAACUUGGCUUGAUUGAUCGGACCGGACAGGACCGGUUCGCCCUAUUUCUCGUUUCUCCAGCCUUACAUCCCAGCGAGACGGAGACGGAGACGGAGAAGGAGGCGGCGAUAAUGGGUUCGCCGGUGGUGUAGAUGGGAUCAGAGUUAGAGCUGUACGCUAUGCCGGCCGUCGCUGUCGGGUUUGUGAAGAAGGCGAUGUCGGAGAGCAGGGAGAAAGGGCGGCAGGUGUCGCGGCUGGAGGAGUCCAUCAAGAGUUUGGAGGAGGAGAAGCGCAAGAUCGAAGCUUACAAGCACGAGCUCUCUCUCUCUCUCUGCAUGCGUCUCGUCUGCGAGGGUCGGCCCGAUGCUCCUCCCUUCUGUCCUUCCCUCAUUUGAUUUCGCUAGGAUCCUUUUAGGUUAAAAUUAGUGUUCUUUUGUUUGGGAAUUUCGAUCGCGGUGAUCGAGGAGUUGAAGAGGGAGAUCGAUCGGUUCCGCGCGGAGGGUUUCGGGCGUAUGUUCCAGGAAUUCAUGCCGAUUAAGGGCAAAAUCAACGAGAGUAGCUCGGAUUUCAGAGAUAAGAAGAACUGGACGAGCUCCUUCCAACUCUGGAUCUGCGAGGAAAGUAAAGAUACCAAAAACAUGAUAAGAUGAACUUUAAAGAGAAAUCAGUAUGUGAUUCUCGGAACGGUGGAGACGCGUCCCUGCCGGUAUUGGAACUAUACAGCUCCAAGGCAGAAGAUGAGACUGCCGCCGUGUUGUCUGACCUCUCUCUGUGCUGUACCGGAUCACUCAUGGCUUUGGGAGUCCGGCCAUCAAUAACUAUCCAGUUAGUUGCCAUAAGUGUACUUAAAAUCCCCGGAAGCAUCUCUGGUGGUGGCGCCUGGCAAACACUGUGGCUUGCAUUAGCAACAGGCUGCAGAUGAGGAGGUUCUGGUCUCAGGAUCUGCAUCGGCGGUUUGUGCUCGUGAUCGCUCCUUCUUGCUCAUGGUAAGACCUCAGUUGAAUCAAUUGCUAGGAGGCUGAUGGAUAGUUCCUGCAAGAUGAUAUUUAGUCCCACAUCUAAAAUUUCACAUUCUUCGAUUAGUAUAAAAUAUAACUAUUCAAUUUAUAAAACAUAACCCAUGGAAUGAAGUAAUAGGAUCGUAAGAUCUAGGAAAAUCCCCGGGUCAUCUGUCACAAUGAUGCGGUCGUGUGGUUUAUAUUCUUAUGGAUAAUUUAUUUUUUAAAUUCAAAAA